ACAAACAACAUGAGACGUUCAGGAACCGUGGGUCAUAUCUAUCUAUCUAUCUAUCUAUCUAUCUAUCUAUCUAUCUAUCUAUCUAUCUAUCUAUCUAUCUAUCUAUCUAUCUAUCUAUCUAUCUAUCUAUCUAUCACUGACCCAUUUCCUGGGACUCACUCUGAUCAGCCAUAACAUUAUGACCACUGAUGGACCUCGGGUCGUUUCUCCUUGACCUGUCAGGUUUCAGCUUCUGAUCUUUGCUGCAGAUCAUGAAGUUGUUCUCCUGGUUCCCUGAUGUUCAGCAGCAACAGAUCCUACAGUUUUACUGACGACUGGUAGAGACUCGAGUUUACUGGUGAACGAGUCUCUGCCGAGUCCCGGCUGCAGGUUAUUAUCAGGUUAUUAUCAGGUUAUUAUCAGUACUGACUGAGUACUGCAGAACUAUUAGUAUUAAUAUUACAGAAAUAUUAACACUGACUGUAUUAUUAUAUUAUUAAUGUAAUAUUGUAACUGAGUACUACAGAACUAGUCAUACUCAGUACCUACAGUAAUAAUCCAGCCGGUUCUGGUCCAUAUUGACUGAGUUACCUGAACUUUCUGUCAGAAGUUGGGGUUUUUUUUGUUUUGCCUUUCUUUUUUUUCCGUUCCUAUGGCUUGCCAUCACCACCAGAUGGCACCGUGGAGGCUAGGAUAGGAGGACUGAAGGGCUGACGUCACCGUCACACUGGUUCCCAAUCCACUCGUCAGCGGGACUUCAAGAGACGGCGACUGCCAGCAUACCAACGCUUGAGUGUUAGCCAGUAAUGGUAACCCAGAGCCCUCUCCAGCGAUCUAGUCGAGCUUCCUGUUGAUUCUGAUCUAACAACAUCUGUUGUUUGGAUUUUUUCAGCUGUUCCUGCAACUUAACGUCUGGCUGUAGUCCCGAUUUUCCCUUGCGACGCCGUGGGCACGUUACCCGUUGGUGCCCAAGGCCACCACUCACCUUUUCCUCCGUGAAACAAGAAGAAGUGUCUGGGAAUCCAAGCAGGCAGUCUGCUCGCUCUCCUUGACGACGUCAGGAUCCUAUUACCUGUCCGCCCUCCACCACAGCACAACCUCCACCUCCAGCGCCCCCACACCUGGCCACGCCGUUGUUUUUUCUCCUCUCCGAAAGUCCUGGCUUACCUGUCUGUCGCCGUCCCUUCGAUGAUUGAGAGCCUACCCUGGAAACCUUUUGUUAAUAAAUCACUUUAACUGAUC